rnacentral:rRNA from 1 species
AUUGAACGCUGCGGAAUGCUUUACACAUUCAAGUCGAGCGGCAGCGCGGCCUUCGGGCUGGCGGCGAGCGGCGAACGGGUGAGUAAUGCAUCGGAACAUGCCCAGUCGUGGGGGAUAACACUUCGAAAGAAUUGCUAAUACCCCAUACGUCCUGAGGGGGAAAGCGGGGGAUCGCAAGACCUCGCGCGAUUGGAGUGGCCGAUGUCAGAUUAGCUAGUUGGUGGGGUAAAGGCCUACCAAGGCGACGAUCUGUAGCUGGUCUGAGAGGAUGAUCAGCCACACUGGGACUGAGACACGGCCCAGACUCCUACGGGAGGCAGCAGUGGGGAAUUUUGGACAAUGGGGGCAACCCUGAUCCAGCCAUUCCGCGUGAGUGAAGAAGGCCUUCGGGUUGUAAAGCUCUUUCGGCAGGAACGAAACGGUGGGCUCUAACAUAGUCCGCUAAUGACGGUACCUGAAGAAGAAGCACCGGCUAACUACGUG